rnacentral:rRNA from 1 species
UACGUAGGGCGCAAGCGUUAUCCGGAAUUAUUGGGCGUAAAGAGCUCGUAGGCGGUUUGUCGCGUCUGCCGUGAAAGUCCGGGGCUCAACUCCGGAUCUGCGGUGGGUACGGGCAGACUAGAGUGAUGUAGGGGAGACUGGAAUUCCUGGUGUAGCGGUGGAAUGCGCAGAUAUCAGGAGGAACACCAAUGGCGAAGGCAGAUCUCUGGGCCGUAACUGACGCUGAGGAGCGAAAGCAUGGGGAGCGAACAGG